AGCGGCUAGUUCUGUACCGUGAAAGGUAGUCCAUAGGCUUAAAAGAAAAUGGAAUAAUCAAAAUACAGUUUCAUGAAAUUAUUAUUUUCUCCAACAGUUUCACCUAUAUACUGACGUGAUGUGAAAUUUGAGGGGUGGAGGUGGAAAGAGAAUAAGAGUGGCCGCCAUUUUGUUUUGGAAUUUUGGGGAAAACAAAAUGGCUGCCAUCGUUUUGAAAAAUGGCUUCCUCUUUUGCUGCUCCCUGAGGGCCACAACCAUACUGCUAGACGGUUGGCUAUCUACAGAAAAAGCGCACACUUUUACUAAAUCGGUGGAUUGUUCCUCCAGCCACUUGCUUUCUUUGAGCGGUGCAAUAUUAAGUAUUCCUCCAGAGAAAAAGCUGCGGUUGAAGCAGUCUUGUUUUUAAAAAAAGAGUGUUCCAUACCAUCUUAUUUUUAAUCCUGAAGUAUUAGGGAAACAUUUUUUAUUUUUACAUUUAGAUGUUUAAAAAUAAAAUGGAACGAGAAUGUCUUUCAGAAAAAGAAACAAAGAAGCAAAAUCUACCUCAGAGAUGUGUCGUUUAAAAAGCAAAAGUUUAAAGUUGCCCCCAGACCAGAGUGGGGUUGGGGGGGGGGGCGAGGCUCAGAGAUUAGGCAUUUGUUAUCAGAAAUAAUAUUAAUAUUACAGAGGCCUAGUUGGGCUCAACCAGAAGCCUGGCAUUUGUGGAACAAUCUCUCCUCAGGCAUCCUCGCAUUUGAAUUUCAGCUGUCUUCUUGAAGACUUUUUUUUGCCUAUGCAGUUGUUUACAAUUUUCUUGAGUCAUUUGAGUAAUUGUUUUGUACUACUUUUAAGAGGGAGGGGGUAUACUUUUAUAUUGCUGCACCACGAUCCUGAUUUUGUAUGAGAAGGCAGUGUGUGUGCUCAGAGUUCAGCGAAAUAAUCUGAAAUAAGCAAGGAUCAGAGAGGUUUAGUUGAAAUUUAUUUUGAGAAACAAUGUUGGGGGCAUGUCAUGAGAAAGAAAAUGCAUGGAUGCAGCUAUAAAUAUUUGGAAACAGCAAGUGUGACCUAGAGUGAAGCAGCUGGGAGAAACUGGAGUCAGGGAAUAUUCUUGGGAGACAGUCCUUGUGUGGGCAUAGAAUGUGAACAAACCAGGAAGUCUGGGAGGAGGAGGAGGAGGAGGAGGCAAAAUGCAAGAUAAGUUUCAUUUAGCCGGAUGGGUGAGCAGAAGAAAGGAGGGCAGAGAGAGAGAGGACAGAGACAGAGAGAGGGACCGAUGAAGAAUAGCAGCGGGGGAAGAGUGACUCUCUGCAUAUGUGCUCUUUCAGCGCGCUGAAAAAUGUCUCUAGCAGAGGAGGCGAUCGCGGCGUGAAGGGCAGGCGGCUCGCCGGAUUCUCCUUCCCUGCUGUAGUUUUGCUUAACUCUAUACUCAUUGUAGCAAAGAGCUAGCGGUGGGACAAGCCGUAAAGAUGAGUUAUCGGCCCGCGACAGGCAGAAAUAUAACAUCAUGGAAAUGCUAAUGACUCCGCGCUGCCUUUCUUUAUGGCGAGUGUAAUACAGACUUCAAUCAUAAAAACAAUCUUCCAACAUUUUAAUGGGCUCCAUCAUGCGCACGCUUGUCCGUAUAUUUGAAAGAUAAAUCAAGGCCCCCAGUUGGAAUGA